AAAAAGGCCUUUACUGAAUUUCAUUUAAUAUCGGUGUUGUACUACAUUACUUAAUACAAGCUGCUUAAAUAACUGGCAGUCAGUUGAGCAAAGGUUUGUUUUGCCCUCCAGGUGGGCAUCCUAUGAUCAUAGGACAUCACACUAUCAAUAGACAGUUGUCUUGGAUUUUAUGCAGUUUAUUUUAAGCAAAAAAAAAAAAAAAAAGACUAGAUUUACAUGAUCAGAGUAACUUCUCCACUAGAAACCACAGUCUGCUCACUAGAGAUGGUCUUGACAUGAGUGUCCCUUCCUGUAAGAGAAGUGUUAGAAGUGUGAAGGCCACUUCAAUUCUCAGUUCCUCUAGUCAAGUUUGAGCAAGAACUCACUCGUCCUGCCGCAGCUUUGCUCACAGGAACCAGAAGAUGGAUGGCACACCGCUGUACUACAGUGGAUGAAGAUCUGACAGGGAGAAAAGAGGGUCAAGUCAUAGAAUCUAUAAGAACUGAAAUUAAAGGUUCUAGUAAAGGGGGGGGGGGGCAUACGGUUUCCUGCAGCAGAGCCAGUGAUGACUGAUCUACAAAUGUGAACAUCUUCACAAUAAAGCGCUUGUAGUGGUUUGGGAACUGAAGACCAGAAGAUCCAGUCACUGGAACCAGUGUGGUCAGGUAAUGGUCAUCCUGGUAAGGGCAUCUGAAUGGGACAGAGGUGGUUAAAAAAGCCCCAGACUAGCUGGAUAAACAUUGGCAUUUCACUCACCCAUCAACCAGAAGGUCCCACUGGGGUAGACUGAGUGGACUGGGGGUGGAAGUUGCCCAGCAGCGUCCCAGCAUCAGGACAAUGUUGGGGUCGGUCCUCUCCAUAAUGCGCACCUCAACAUACACAGGCUCCCGCAAGACUUUUGUGAUGGGAUAAUCAGCUUCACUGUAGUAGGACGUGUAGGCCUCAUCCCCUGAGGAACACCAGUGAUUAAACAGGAACUGGAAUUUUAGAAAUGCUUUAGGCAAACAUAGGACAAUUACCUUCAGCACACCCUUUGGUGACACAUUGGCCAUUGGCCAGUCUAAGCUCAACCCUGAGGGGUCCAGGGGCAGCUACUGGUGGAGGUGGAGGAAUAGUGUUAACCUCCACAACCAGAGCUUGCACAGAAGUGCCAGAGUACCUACACUGGAAGAGAAGCCUGGACAACAGACCAUGAGCUUGUAGCAUUUGUCAGAACAACGAUUAAGAACAGCAUAGAUCACCUACUCAAAGUGGCUGUCCCUUGUGAUUGAACCAAAUGGUCCCAUCCCCACUUCAUACGAGGAGGUCAUUCUGUUCUCAUACACCACAUAACCACUGUCCUCCUGCAAAUAGCAACACUGUUGGCAUCCAGUCCAUCAUAGGCCAUGCAGAAUAAAACCAGAAGCAGCUACUCACCAUCACUCUUGUGCCACAUGCGGUCACAGGGAACUGGUAUACAGCAAAGGAAAGUGUGGACCCCACAGGACUGCAAGGUGGGUCACUUCCUCCCAGUAGACUGACUGAAUCCAGACUCAGUCGAGGCAGUGUAACAUCUCUAGCCACCACUACCACAAACUGACCAUCUCUUAUACACUGGACAGUCACUGGAACAAAAGGUACAAGAGCAGGUUAAUGUUGAGGAUAAGUUUAACUGAGAGCAGAACACUGACUCACUCUUACCUGCCUUCCCAUAGUAACACUGCUGUCCACUAAAGCAGCAGUUGAUAGCUUCACAUUCAGCACUACUGAUACCAGGCUGUCCACAUUGGAUCUGCUCAUAAUCAGCUACAGCACAUUUGUCCAAAGGCUCAGCCUUCGCUACUGGCUUCUGAAUCUGAAGCUUCUGAGGAAACUGCUGAUCAGUCUGUUGAACAGGCUUCUGAAUCUGAAGCUUCUGAGGAAACUGCUGAUUAGUCUGUUGAACUGGCUUCUGAAACUGCUGCUUCUGAGGAAACUGCUGAUUAGUCUGUUGAACAGGCUUCUGAAUCUGAAUCUUUGGAGGAAUCUGCUGAUUAGUCUGUUGAACUGGCUUCUGAAACCACUGGUCAGUUUGCUGGAGCAUCAGAGCUUGAGGGUUCUGGGGCAGUUUACUCAACUUACUCAACUUUGGAAGAGCAUGACAGAAAGCACACAGUGCCAAUACCUGAACCAACCACCAACUUCCAGCCAUUGUCCAACAGCUAAUCACACUAUUGAGAUACUGCCCUUUAGUCUUUUUGCACUCUACAGAUUUCAGCUAAUUAGCUAUAGUCCCUCCCUCUUCAUUAACAAUCAUGAUUCUCCAGACUUGCGCAAGUGUGAGCUCAUGC
ensembl:lncRNA